AUGACUCUCAGCAACGGAUAUCUUGGCUCUUGCAACGAAUGCGAUACCUAGUGUGAAUUGCAGAAUUCCGCGAAUCAUCGAGUUUUUGAACGCAAGUUGCGCCCGAGGCUUGUUCCGAGGGCAUGCCUGCCUGAGCGUCC
rnacentral:rRNA from 1 species